UGGUCUUGACAUAGAAAGAACUUUCCAGAGAUGGAUUGGUGCCUGCUUGCAGGAGCUUUCAUACAGGUGCUGCACGGCUGUCGUCAGCUCGUGUCGUGAGAUGUUGGGUUAAGUCCCGCAACGAGCGCAACCCUCGUCGUUAGUUGCUAACAGUUCGGCUGAGAACUCUAACGAGACUGCCUACGCAAGUAGGAGGAAGGUGAGGACGACGUCAAGUCAUCAUGGCCCUUACGACCAGGGCUACACACGUGCUACAAUGGGGUAUACAAAGAGCAGCAAUACGGUGACGUGGAGCGAAUCUCAAAAAUGCCUCCCAGUUCGGAUUGUAGUCUGCAACUCGACUACAUGAAGUUGGAAUCGCUAGUAAUCGUAGAUCAGCUAUGCUACGGUGAAUACGUUCCCAGGUCU
rnacentral:rRNA from 1 species